rnacentral:piRNA from 1 species
CAGCUGGGAAGCUCGAACUGGGUGGAGCC